UCCUUAGCAACCAGACGGCGCUUGUGAAUGGAUACCGGACACACACUGAUGCCAAACAUUGCUGAACUUGAAUUAGCUUCACGGUUUACAACAGAGCCGAACAAGUCCGCCGGUAUUAAGUAAUUUGUAGUGCAAAACGGCGUAAAUGUACAUGCCAUGGACGCUUCAGCUGAAGUUAAUAACUUUCUUGGCACUUCAGCUUAAAACAUCAGAAAACCUGCACCUUAUGUUAGCCAGCUGGUAGCAUAAUUUAAGAGGCUUGCAAAAUUAGCAUCAAUGUGUUGCAACAUUUAGGGUUUACUUAAUAACCUAAAUUAGUUUCCAUGCCCUUAAGGUUACUACAUGGUGUUUGUAUUAUAAGGGGAUAUUUUAAGACACCAAAAUUAUGAUACAAAGUGAGAAACAGAAGCACCGUGGUGAUGAGGAAGUGGUCAAAGAGCUGUGCAUAGCUAAUGGGGUGUCCUAUGAAAAAAUUGCACAAGAAGGAAGAGGCAUCAGCUCCCUGGAGAUUUUUUUCUCUGGUUUUCCUCGUAUAGCUGGUCUGAACUUCUUCCCCAGGCUGUGUCAGCUCACCAUAGUGAGCCAGAACAUCAAACACAUCGAAGGGCUUGACUGCUGUCCAUUGCUUCAAGAACUCUGGAUAGUGGAGUGCAACCUGACAGAAAUAUCAGGACUCCAGAAAUGUCUGCAACUAAAGAAACUCUACCUUUAUGAUAAUCAUAUCUGUGAAAUAAAGAACUUACAGUUGCAGGUUGAUUUAGAAGUUCUGUGGCUCAACAAUAACUGCAUAAGUCAGAUACAGGGCUUAAACUCGCUUCAGAAUCUCAAAGAGCUAAACCUUGUGGACAACAGUAUUGAAAAGAUUGGGCAUGGCCUUGACCAUAAUGACUGCCUCCAGAAUCUUAAUCUCUCUGGGAACAAGAUCAGCUCCUUUAAGGAGCUGACCAAGCUCGCCCGCCUCCCUGAUCUGAGAGAACUAGCACUGAAGGACCAGACAUCCACCUCAAACCCAGUGUGUCUGCUGUGUAACUAUGCCACUCAUGUUCUUUACCACAUGCCAGGCCUCCAGCGACUUGACACCUACGAAGUCUCAAGCCAGCAAGUCAAAGAAGCAGCUGAGUCCACAGUAAUGAAGAAAACGAUGUACUACAACAUGCGUGUCCGUACUGCUCAGAGAAACCUGGCAGAGUCUCAACUGAGUUUGAUGGAGAGGAAGAAAACUAUGUUACAGUUACCUGAAGAGUGCAUCAGAACAAUCAACCAUUCCCUGAAAAAUCUUGAACGGGAGCUCUCCAAGGUGCCGACUGGUCGUAAAGAGUCUGCCGGCACGUUAAAGGACGAAUCAUCCCUCCAGGUUAAAGGUUUACCUGACAGAAGCGACUCACCCACCAACAUCAGUCAUGAUUCUGCUAUGGAGUGCAAAAUACUGCACAAGAUUGAAGCACUACGGGAGAGACUGAUGCUAUGGACAAGGAGAAUGGAUGAGAUUGAGGCCUGGUCCCAGCGAGAUAUGUCCCAAGCCACAUUCAUGAUGGAAUAUAGUGUCCAGUUUCUGUUAAUGGAGUUAGAAAGUGUUGGAAAUAUUCGUUUGGAAGAGGGCUGCUCUGCAGACCCUUGGUUUACUUCCUGCUGCGACCUCCUGCUGUCACGCUUCUCUCAUCCAGACUUCAAGAAUCACGGCGUCACUGGUAUUAAGAUCACUAAAGUUAUCCGCAUCCACAACAGUGCUCUGAAGCUUCGCUUUGAGGACAGAUUUCACAACUUACUAACCAGUGAGGAGUCUGCUACCUUUUCACAAAAGAAUUACAGGCGUCAACUGGAGCACUUGUUCUACGCAGCUGAUCCUGAAGGAAAUAAUGAGAGGGAAGACAUUUUGAGCAUUAUAGAGGAAGGAUUUAAAACAACCCAACCAAAUAAGCCCUUGGAGAUCGAGGGUGCCAUACCUUUGUCCAACAGCCUGAUUGUGACUGAACAGCCCAGAAUUGAACAUGCUGUUCGCCGAGCCAGCCAAGGCGAGACCAAGCACAGUCCAGAUACAAUCCCUUUUAGACAUGGUCAGAUAAUUGUCUCCAAAGUAUUUGUGGGCCACAGCAUGCCCAUCAGAGAGGGAGAAUCAGCGGACAGAAGCAGUUAUUCCAAAGUGUACUCAGUUUAUCGCAAUAUGGACACAAAGCAAAGAGCUGCAACAAGUGGCGAGACGCCUCUCUCUUCAAAAACACACACUGGACCUGAGUGCAGUCCCCGAAGAAGACAAUGGUUUAUGUUUGACCAUGAGCUCAUUCUGCCUGAGUACAUCAUGUAUUUUGAAUAUGUCACUGGGGAUGCAGAACAUCCUUUGCCAGGCCAUAUCACAGGAGCUCAUGGUACUCCCUCCAACGAUAUCAUCCUGGACAAGGAAGCCCUCAACAUGGAACCAAUGCUAAAGCCACAGCCUAAGUUAUUAAGCUUGAAUGACAAAAUUCUGCUCAAUGUAGCCAGAGCCAAUGUCCUUAGUCAGAUUACAGUGCUGAAUCUUCAUGGCAACAGCCUGAGUAAAAUAAAGGAGAUUUCCCACCUCACAUCCCUGCGGCAUCUCACCAUCAGCUUCAAUGAGUUCACACGCUUGGAUGACAUUUCUCACAUGCCGAACCUUGAGUUUCUGGAUGCCAGCUUUAAUCGCCUUGUGACCCUCGAGGGGCUAAGAAGGUUGGGACAGCUCAAGCAACUGGAUGUGAGCUGGAACAAGUUGACCAAGGCCAGAGACGAUACAGCUGUGCUGAGAAAACACACACCAGCUCUACUGAGACUUAACAUCCGACACAACCCCUGGAACAAGCCUGAAGCAGUCAGAAGGACUAUGUUGGGAUGUCUAACGACCCUCACACACCUGGAUGAUUUGAUGGUUGCAGAGGAGGAGGCUGCUGAUGCUGUUCGGAUGGCUGCUGGAUCCAAAAUUAACCAGGCAUCUCUUCUGGUUCACUCGCGCACUAACGAUGACCGGCCCCGCAGUCUCAGCCUGCUGUCAACAGCCCAGCUCCUGUGUUUACUCAGUCCUGCAAGCUGGAGCAUCAACACUGAGCUGGAACCAGACUGGGCUGCAAAGAUCACCACCCUGAACUUUGACAGCCAGAGGAUUUCCAAACUGACCAAUCUGAAUACGCUCAUCAACCUCCGCUGGGCCUCCUUUAAUGAUAAUGACAUCUCCAAAGUCGAGGGUCUUGAAUGCUGCACAAAGCUUGAGGAGCUUUCCCUCAGCAACAACAGCAUCAGCACAUUUAAUGGCCUUUCAAAACUGCACUGCCUCAGUAAGCUGAGUCUGGAUGGGAAUCAGCUGUCUAGUUUGGAUGCCUCUGGCCUGGAUCAGCUGUCCAACCUGUCCUUUUUGUCUAUGGAGAAAAACUGUAUCACUUCCCUGCAUGGCAUCCAGAGAGUCCGCUCCCUUCUUGAGCUUUAUGUUGGAAACAACCAAAUUUCCACAUCACAAGAUAUCUACUUUUUGAAGGGAUUAUCAAAUCUCAUCAUUUUGGAUCUUUAUGGGAAUCCUUUACUGGAGCGGCUCGAAAACUACCGAAUUUAUGUGGUUUUCCACUUACCCUCCCUGAAAGCUCUGGAUGGCAUUGCUGUUGAGGUAACUGAGUGUAAAAAUGCAAAGGACAUGUUUGGAGGGAGACUCACCCCUGACAUGGUUGCAGAGAAGCUUGGCCACUCACACUACACAGACAUCACUUAUCUCACCCUGCAGUCCUGCUCUAUAAGGAUUGUUGAUCUCCCUCCAGCAGACCUAUUCUGUAACCUGCGCAGUGUCAACUUAGACCACAACAACCUCACCUCUUUCUCAGGCCUCAUCUACCUACCAAACAUCAAAGCUCUGUGUCUAAACUACAACCACAUUGAGUCCAUCCUGCCCAGACAGAAGACCCAAGCUCAUCUGACAAACAGACAGAUACUCCACAGCAAAGUUCACUCCAGUGGUUACGGCAAGCAGAGUCCAUCCAAAGGGAAAAGGGACACUGGGCCCACUGGCAGUCUGGAGCCACUGAUGGGCAGCCUAGAGGUGCUGCAUUUGAGUCACAAUAGCAUCUCCAAUAUGGCCAAUCUGCAGCUCAGCAGGCUCACCAAUCUUAAAGCACUCUUUCUCCAAGGUAAUGAGAUCAGCCAGGUGGAAGGAUUGGAAGGGCUUCACCAGCUCAGAGAGCUUGUGUUAGACCGGAACCGCAUCAAAACUCUGUCUGAAAACUCUUUCAUUGGGCAGAAUGUCUUGUUAGAACUGCAUCUAGCAGAGAACCGGAUCCGGGAGCUCAACCAUCUCAAUCCUUUGACUGAGCUACGCAAGCUCUUUCUUGGCAUGAACAAACUGCAGGACAUCACAGAAGUCGAAAAGCUAGAAGUUCUUCCUUCACUGUCGGAGCUCUCUGUUGUUGGAAAUCCAGUGGCGAGAAAUUCUCUCCACAGACCAGCUGUGGUGCUCCUUCUGUCCUCUCUGCAGGUCCUGGAUGGAGUGAUGGUCACCUUGGAGGAAAAAACACGGGCUGAACUCCUCAGCGCUGAUCCAUCACCAUGUCCCCAAUGCCCUGGAGCUUCUCUCCCUGCAGCUGACAUAAACCUGCCUGGACUGCGACCUCUUCUGCCUCGUAACCCCCCUCUAAGAGCAAUGGGUCUAAGUGGAGGACUACAGGGCUCUGUACAUAGGCACGACAUCCUUCCAAGUAACGCUGAAGAAGUUCAAUAUCAAUUCACAUACACAACUCUCUAGCCCACACCCUUUUAUUUACUCUAAAUACAGACAAAAGGAACAAGCAUGUAAACGCUCCUCGAAUUCCCCAAACUGACAUUAACUUCAGACACAUUCGAAGAACAGGAAGCAACCUCCCGACCUCCGGUCUCCUUUCAGAUGGGAACAGAAUCAUCACGUAUCCCACCCAAGAGCAAGACAGCAGAUUUCCAACCAGAGGCAAACAUCCUCCCAUGUAACAGCCUGGAGCAGUGGAGCAUGCACAGAUACUUGUCAAUCAGUACACAGUUAAAUAUUCAUAUAUAAAUCAUAUUGUUUGAGGGCAUUAUAUCUUCAAUGUAUAUGAGCUUGUUUAAAGAAAAUAACAGAACAUGGGGUAAUUCAAGUCCCUUUUAUUUUUUGAUAUAGCGCAAAAUUGCCAUCGUCUAAAGUUAUACAUUUGAUGUAUUUUCAUUUGCUGCUCCAUGUCAAUAAAUCCCUUUUGCAAUUUCAGUGAAAAAUAAAAAAAAUUUCAGGCCAGAGGAAAUUA